rnacentral:lncRNA from 1 species
AAUUAAAUACUAAUUACAAUUUUACAGUCAGACGGGUUUUUUUAUUUAACGACUGCUGCACUUUAUCCGCGGUGCAGUCACUGUCAAAAACGUCUUAUUGUCGUCGUCUGUCAACCGAUAUUAUAUUAUUGUAAUGGACGUUUUUAAUUAACGCGUUUUUCGAUAAAAGACAGAUAAUUCAAAAUAAAUUAAAACGCAUACGUCAUAAAGGUAGGCGUGGAAAAGAGGAAAAGGGUUACAUCCCUCUUUCCAUAACGGAUUAAAAAUGAAACAACUAUAAAUAUUUAAUUAGUACAUUAAGUAUAAAAAUUAUACAUUUCAGCUGAGAUCCUGAGAAAAAAAUCGCUUGAUUUAUUGAAUAGAAAUUGGGUUUGGCGGGUCCGGCUUUUAAAUUUUCAUUGUCGAGUUAGGGAACAACAGAAGACGAUUCUACGAUUUAUUCAUGAAACGAAAAUAUUAAUUUGCUGCGUACCCUCUCCCGUUGAAAAUUCCUGGUCACGCCACUGCGUAAAGGUGAUGUACGCGCGGAAAUCGAAUAAUUUAUAAUGUAUUAAUAUAUUUUAUGGUUGAAAAAAAAAAUCAAUAAAAUUACGAAUUUAUUAAAGUAUCAAUUCUUUUCCGAUUAUCAUUAUAUUUAAUUCAAAUAAUUAAAAAAAAAAAAAAUUAUCGUUUUCCAUUGUGUGGCGCAGAUGCCCCGCCAUCACCGCGAGCUUAAAGAGAUUCCCGCGCAUAAUAAUAUUUAAUAACAUUCAAUCGCCAAACACCGAUCGGUUGUCAACCCUACAGGAGAUAAUAAUAUUAUUCGUGAUGUCUGUCAGUGUACCUGUGUACAGGCAUUAGGUACAAAAGAUCCAUAAUAAUAUUAUGAUUGCGGCGGCGGCAGCGGCAGCGACGGUGACGUAUUAUAAUAACGCAACAAAAACUAUUAUUAUGACUCGAGUGCUGUUGUUGUUAUAAUAAUAGUAGCUGUAAGCGACGACACCCGGUAUUAACAAGUGAGAGAGAGAGAGAGAGAGAGAGAGAGAAAAGAAGAAAAAACUCACGCGUUAACCAAAUUUUUUGUCGACGAUAAUCGACCACGUCGAGGCGUUAAAAUGUAAAAGAAAAAAAAAGUAAUAAUAAUCGUACGUAUUCAGUAUUGUCGUGUAAAACUACAUAAUAGAUAUCGUUAUUUAUCGCCGUUUAAUUAAAAAAAAAAAAAACAAAACAAAACAAAACGAGAUGGAAAAAUUAAAUACCACCCCGAGUCGACCUUUUUUUUUUUUUUUGAUCUUUUACCAAACGGCGGGGUGGACAAAUGAUAAUAUUAUCACGAUGACGUGGCGGACCGUUUGAUUUCCGAAAAAUUCGCAGUUCGCGGGUGUUAAACAAACGCAAUAACUUUUGUUCUGUUCGAUAUUAUUGAGUUUUUCUUUGUUGCAAUAAUUCUUAUAUUUUAAUUAAUAACAAAUUAAAUAAGAAUCUUAAUCAUUUCAUAAAAAGAUUAAAAAAGUGGUCAUUCUAACAUGUUUGUAAAUAUUCAGCCAGGUAUUUUACUGAGUUCAGCCAUUCUAUUUGGAAAUCUUGGAUUUUAUGUUUUAGGGUGUUUUAGAGUGUAGAUUUAUUCGUGAAAAAAUUAGACAAUUUCUUUGACGGCUUUACGAAAAUUCAUCAUAGUAGUUUGAAUAUAAUACGUUUUAGUGUACGGUUUUGUUAAUGUAUCAUAAUAAUAUUAUAUGGGACGGACAAAAUUAUCCAAGUCUAUGGAUGUCUUACAGGACUUAUCCUGUGUCCUGUGCCUUGUGCACAUAUAUGGAUAUAACUUAUCUUUUCUAUCGUCAUAAUUUAAUAUCUAUCAUACGACUUAUCACUAAGGCUCGGAAGAUAUAGGGGCUAGAAAAAGCAAAAUAUGCACGAAAAAAAUUUUAAAAUAUGCAUGAAAAAUGUAAUAAAUAUGCACAAAAAAAAAACGAUAAAGAUUAAAUCGCACCGUUGCACGAAGUCGUUAAAUUUAUAAUAAUAGACCCAGACGAUAAGAAAUAACAAUACAUAACUACGUUAAAUAACAUUAAGUUUUGUAUUCAAUGUUAUUUAAAAUACAUUGGUUAAGAAAGAAAAAACACAAUUUUUUUGAACAAAAAUUAAAUACGCAUAAAUAUGCGUACAAAUAUGGGAAAAUCGAUGGAAAUCGAUGAAAUAUGCAUUUUUUCUCUAAAGUUAAAGACGUUUUAUACUUCUGUUUUGCCUUUUUUAGCAUUUUAAAUUGUUCAGGUCAUUUGUUUACUUUCUGAGGGCAUUAUUCCUAUUGUUUGUUAAUUUCGCGUUAGUUUUAUUCAUUUAUACACGA